rnacentral:rRNA from 1 species
GAUGAACGCUGGCGGCGUGCCUAACACAUGCAAGUCGAGCGAACAGAUGAGGAGCUUGUUCCUUUGCCGUUAGCGGCGGACGGGUGAGUAACACGUGGAUAACCUACCUAUCAGACUGGGAUAACUUCGGGAAACCGGAGCUAAUACCGGAUAAUAUAACGAACGGCAUGGUUCAUUAGUGAAACACGCCUUUCCUGUCACAUAUAGCUGGAUCCGCGCUGCAUUAGCUAGUUGGUAAGGUAACGGCUUACCAAGGCAACGAUGCGUAGCCGACCUGAGAGGGUGAUCGGCCACCCUGGAACUGAGACACGGUCCAGACUCCUACGGGAGGCAGCAGUAGGGAAUCUUCGGCAAUGGGCGAAAGCCUGACCGAGCAAUGCCGCGUGAGUGAUGAAGGUCUUCGGAUCGUAAAACUCUGUUAUUAGGGAAGAACAAAUGUGUAAGUAACUAUGCACGUCUUGACGGUACCUAAUCAGAAAGCCACGGCUAACUACGUG